CCCCUGACCCGGAAGAGCAUUCUCCUUAGCAACUGCGGGACCGCAGCGGCGCCAGCCUCCCGGGAGCAACGCUAGUGACGACUGAGCUACUCAAGGCAGGAAGAACUCUGAGCUGAGCAGUGGAGGCCUCCCCUGGAUCUGGAGAGAAGAGGCGACCUUGGAACCAGUAAUGAGCCAUCCUGACUGCAGGCUGAACCUCCGGCCCCUGGGGACCCCCAGAGGUGUGUCCUCUGUGGUUGGCCCACAUGGUGUUGGUGCUUCGCCAGGUGACAAAAAGUCAAAGAACAAGUCCAUACGAGGGAAGAAAAAGAGCAUAUUUGAAACCUACAUGUCCAAGGAGGAUGUCUCAGACGGCUUGAAGAGAGGAACACUUAUCCAGGGUGUAUUGAGAAUUAAUCCAAAGAAGUUUCAUGAAGCCUUCAUUCCUUCCCCGGAUGGUGAUCGAGACAUUUUUAUCGAUGGGGUUGUUGCUCGUAAUAGAGCCUUGAAUGGGGAUCUGGUGGUCGUGAAGCUGCUUCCAGAGGAGCAAUGGAAGGUAAUUAAACCAGAGAGCAAUGACAAAGAAACAGAAGGUGCCUAUGAAUUAGAUCUCCCUGAGGAGCUCUGUGGAAGCCAUCUCCCGCAGCAGUCCGUGAAAGGCUACGGUGACAGUCCUGAUGUCAUUAUAGAGGCUCAGUUUGAUGACAGCGACUCAGAAGAUGGACAUGGCAACACACAGAAUGUUCUGGUUGAUGGUGUCAAGAAACUCUCAGUUUGUGUUCAUGACAAAGGAAAAGAGGAUGCUGAUGCUCCAGUUACAAAGGAUGAGAGCACCUCCAUGUCACAGGACUCAAGAGCUUUACCAGAGAAAUCGCUGCAAAGAUCAGCAAAGGUGGUUUACAUCUUGGAGAAAAAACAUUCCAGGGCAGCAACUGGCUUUCUCAAACUUUUGGCUGAUAAGAACAGUGAACUGUUUAGGAAAUAUGCCUUGUUUUCUCCCUCGGACCACCGAGUGCCUAGAAUUUAUGUGCCUCUCAAGGACUGUCCCCAGGACUUUGUGACCCGGCCUAAAGAUUAUACCAACACACUGUUCAUCUGCCGCAUCGUGGACUGGAAGGAGGACAGCAAUUUUGCUCUGGGGCAGCUGGCUAAGAGUCUUGGGCAGGCUGGUGAAAUUGAGCCUGAAACAGAAGGAAUACUAACAGAGUAUGGUGUGGAUUUCUCUGAUUUCUCUUCGGAAGUUCUAGACUGUCUCCCUCAAGGUCUGCCCUGGACAAUCCCACCAGAGGAAUUCAGCAAGAGAAGAGAUUUAAGGAAAGACUGUAUCUUCACCAUUGACCCAUCAACUGCCCGCGACCUCGAUGAUGCCCUCUCCUGCAAGCCACUUGCUGAUGGCAACUUUGAAGUGGGGGUUCACAUUGCAGAUGUCAGCUAUUUUGUUCCCGAGGGAUCCCCCCUGGAUAAAGUGGCUGCUGAGAGAGCUACAAGCGUCUACUUGGUUCAGAAGGUCAUCCCCAUGCUUCCCAGGCUGCUGUGCGAGGAGCUGUGCAGCCUCCAUCCCUUGACCGACAAGCUGACCUUCUCUGUGAUCUGGACGCUAACCCCUGAGGGCAAGAUCCUUGGUGAAUGGUUUGGUCGGACCAUCAUUCGCUCCUGUACCAAACUGAGCUACGAGCACGCACAGAGCAUGAUUGAAAGCCCGACCGAGAAAAUCCCUGAGAAGGAGCUGCCGCCCAUCUCCCCCGAGCACACCAGUGAGGAGGUACACCAGGCUGUCUUGAAUCUCCACGGAAUCGCAAAGGAGUUGCGAAAACAACGGUUUGUGGACGGCGCACUGCGUCUGGAUCAACUAAAACUUGCUUUCACUCUGGAUCACGAGACCGGACUGCCUCAAGGAUGUCACAUCUACGAGUACCGCGACAGCAACAAGCUCGUGGAGGAGUUUAUGCUCCUGGCCAACAUGGCAGUGGCCCACAAGACGCACCGCACCUUCCCUGAGCAUGCCCUGCUGCGCCGGCACCCCCCACCCCAGACCAAGAUGCUCAAUGACCUCGUGGAAUUCUGCGAACAGAUGGGGCUGCCCAUGGACUUCAGCUCUGCCGGGGCCCUCAAUGAAAGUCUGACCAAAACAUUUGGAGAUGACCAGUACUCACUGGCCCGGAAAGAAGUGCUCACCAACAUGUGCUCCCGGCCCAUGCAGAUGGCCCUGUACUUCUGCUCGGGGGUGCUGCAGGACCAGACGCAGUUCCGGCACUACGCCCUCAACGUGCCGCUGUACACCCACUUCACCUCUCCCAUCCGCCGCUUCGCCGACGUCCUGGUGCACCGCCUCCUGGCCGCCGCGCUUGGCUACGGGGAACUGCCCGACUUGGAGUCCGAGGCCCUGCAAAAGCAGGCCGACCACUGCAAUGACCGCCGCAUGGCCUCCAAGCGCGUCCAGGAGCUCAGCACCGGCCUCUUCUUUGCCAUCCUGGUUAAGGAAAGCGGCCCCCUGGAGUCAGAAGCCAUGGUGCUAGGCGUCCUGAACCAAGCCUUCGACGUGCUGGUGCUGCGCUACGGGGUACAGAAGCGUGUCUACUGUAAUUGAAUCCUCUUCAAAGAAAAAUUCGGUGCAGGACCUUGUCGGAAGGCCUCGUGGGGACCAGAAGACCGAUGGCGUGGCUGCCUUUGUCCCCCACGGGCAGGCCGUGGCUCAUCAUCCGCCCAGCCCCGGGCCGGGUGUCGGAGGGGAAUGGAGGACACGCCACCGUCCUGCCUUCCUUUCUCCUGCUCCAGCACCUCAGCCAGCCUUCCAGGUGUCCAUCUCGCCACCCCCAAGAUGUCCCUGAGGCCACCAACCCCCUGUCUGUUCCUGUCCCCAGAGCGUUCUCCUGCAACCAAGGAUCUGAAGGGAAGUUAGGUGUGAGGGGCUGGUGGUUUGGUAUUUGGAUGAGGAGAAGAUUUCUGGGUGUUUCCUGACCUAGGCAGCCCGACAGAGCCCAAGGGCAGGACAAUCUCAACCCUGUCCCGAUCCCCUGGACUGCCCCACCCUCUGAGGAGGAGCCCCGUUCUGCCCUGGGGCUGUCCCCUGCCGGCCUCCCACAGAGCCCGGGAGCUGAGCCCCCGUGGCGUGACACCCAUCAGGGAGGCAGUGGGUCAGAGCCCCCGGGCCCUCUCUUGAGCAGCAUGAACUCAGACCGGACCCCAGUCCUCACUGCCCCGGUGCCCCCUGAGCCCCGAUGAGGCAUAGCCGGCUCGGUCAGCAAGGAACAUCUUUGCCGCCAGGACUUGUUUGGGCAGAGGUGGGUCUCGCCCUGAUGCACCCUAGAACCACGGGGGCCAUGGCCACCCCAGCCCACCCCCGCUUCAUCUGACAGAAGUGGAAACUGCACCCAGAAAGGAGCCAAGCCUCUGGUGGGUGCUCAGGACAAGCCAGGCCUCUGGCCAAGGUGACACAGCAAGACUGCCCAGCCAGGACCGGGCUCAGGCACCUGCCCUCCACUGCACCCCACUGCCCAAAGGAGGCGGCCCAGCACUCUCCCCCAACGUCAAACGGGGUCCGUCUUCAUCCGCUCUCCCAGCACGCGGAGGUCCACUGAAGGAGCCGGCCCCUUCUGUGUCCCAAUGUGACGGAACUGUUGACAAAAGGGUGACGAGACACAAAACCUCGUCAAAAAGGAAGACUCAUCCCUGCAGCUGCACACAAGUACCGGCAGAAGCCCAGGACCCAGAGCAAGGCUCUGUCUUCCUCGAGGGGCCCCCUCGGAUCCCCAUGGCGAGGGAGCCGUAGACGCAAAUAACGUCCCUACGAGAUGAGGCUCUUAGCAAAGUUCCUGGAGGCUGGAGAGGGUAUCCCCAGCUCCGAAGGGACCGGGGCCAGAGGAUGAUGCGUGGGCCCCACGGGGGUGAAGGAACUGAGGCUCGAAGGACAGAAACCCAGUGCGAAGUGGCUCUGGGAGGAAGGGAACUGAUAGGAAGGCUGGACAGAACUACCAGAGGAGGGCAGGUAAGCCCGCCUUGGGGGAGGCAGGGAGGCACCACGCCUCCAGGUCACCUGGCAGGGGUGGGGAGCCUGUGCCCCUUCUCUGUUUCUGCUUCAUUUCCUCCUGGUGUAGAUCACUUCCUCUGUGGUGACCUUCUGGAACCAUCUGCCUUCUGUAUCUUGCAGUCCACCCUCCUGGAGCGAGACUGACACCCUCUCCCAGCUCUAGUUAGAGAAGACCCCAGGAGAGAAUGGGGCAGCUGCCCAGCCCUGGCCCAUCAGAGAGCUGUCAUGGUACAGAAUGGUAGCUCCUGGGGUCCCUGGCAGCUGGGAGGGAUGGGCAAGAAGCUGGGGAGCAGGUGCCAGGAAGAGGCUAGGCCACUGGGGAGACACAGCACCAGAUGCCCCUGCAGCCCAGAUACCGCAUGUUCUCACUUAUACGUGGAGUCUAAAAGAAUCAAACGCAUAAAAGGAGAGGAGAAUGCUGCUUUCCAGGGCCAGGGCAGGGAGGAAGAAUGGGGAGCUGUUGGGGACAAAGUUUCAGUUGUAAGAUAAACGAGUUCGGGGGAUCUCACGUACAGCAUGGUGGUGUAGUUAACAAUUCUGUGUUGUGGACUUGAAAGCCGCUAAGUGGGUCCAACUGCAGUGUGCUCACCACAGAAAGCAUAUGAUCACUCUCAGGUGAUAUGUUAAGUAGCUUGCUGGUGGUGAUCAUUGCACAAUGUAUCCAUAUAUCAAAACAUCUGGUUGUACAUCUUGGAUAUAUACAAUUCCUAUUUGUCAAUUAUACCUUGGUGAAGCUGCUAAAUAAACAAAUAAAUACAAACGGAGUCUAUGUGCCUCCCCCUUAAAUCUGGACAGGCUCAAUGGCUGCUAAUAUGCAGAAAUGUGGCAGAAGUGACUUAGGGCCAGUUUCGAGGCCCCAGCCUUAAGGAACCGGCAGCUUCUACUCCCUGUCUCUUGGGAAUCCAGCUGCCAUGUUGUGAGGAUGCUCAAGCGACUCUGUGGAGAAGCCCUCGUGGAAGGGAGCCAGUUCCUAAGCCACGUGACAGAGCCAUCUCGGAAGCGGACCCCCCAGGUCCCAUCCAGCCAUCCCCGCCGAAGCCCCAUAGAUCCGACACACACUGUCCCCUCCAGGCCCUGCCCAGAUUGCAGAUUUGUGAUCCAAGAAAUGUGUGAGCUGGUCUGGGGCUGGUUCAUUAUAUAAACCAUUAUAGAUACCAAGAAGAGAAGAUCAGUAGAAUGUGUCAAUAGAUAGAGCUUACGAUUGAAGAACGAAGAAGUGAUUUAGAAACAGAGGUAAAUAUCAACACAGAAAGCCAAAAGAGAGGAAAGUGGUUGCCUCAGAGAUGGGAAAAGGCAGGGAGGGAGACCGGGAACUGCAGUUUUUGUUCUGUCGUAACAAACCUCACAGAGCUAUUUGGUAAUUUAAACUAUAGUCAUGUAUAAAUUGGAUCAGAAUAAAAACCCAAACAACCUCCCCCACCAAAAAAAAAAAAAAAAAAAAUCUUUUUUCUUAGCAGGAAUGGAUCUACAGUUCUUUUAAAAGGCUUAAAAGGCUUUUUGUACAUUCAGCAACAGGGAUAUUAAACAGUCCAUCAUUCCAGUAAGUAAGAUAAAAUUCCUGCUGACAGGUGGCCUGAUAAUCCCAGUGAGUUCAAAUGCUGCCUAAGGCCUUCUACUUAAAAGACUCAGGUGGCAGUCUGGGCGGGGACGCCCCUGGGGGCUUUGGUCGCUCCCCACCUGAGCCAAGGUACAGGAGUCCAGGGCAAGGGACUAGGCCCUGGGCAGCUAACCAGCCAGGAAGCAGUGGCGGUGAGUGGGGGGGGGAUGGUGUUGGGCAGAACCACGGGUGAGGCUGUGGGCCUCCCCGUGUGAUGUGAGUCUGCAGGAGGGCUGAACUUCAGGCCCCAGCUGGACUCUGACUACAGAUGCCCAGUUCAUGGGCCCAAUCACAGAUUUCAGGGUCAGUUGAAGGUGAGAGGGGUAUUGAAGUAGACGAAAGACGGGAGUCCUGGUGAAUGGAAGGAGGAGAAAGAUGCCUUUCACAACAAUAAAGAAGAUUCUGGAGAUGGGGGGUAGGGUACAUGAAGUACUUGGAAUGAUGAGUUUGAAUUUGCGCGUUAACUGAGUCAGGUUACAUAUUUAAAGCCUUCUGCAAGAUCAUCUCUUUGAAUCUUUUUAUGAGUUUUUAUGGUUUGGUGGUUUGUUUUUUUUAAUAUAUAGAAAGCAAUUUUGGGGGGUGGAGUCCCAUUUUAAUAAUUUAUUUUACUUAAAGUUGUUUUACUCAAACACUUUGGCGAACUGUGUUGUGUUCUUUAAUGUUCAUAAAUUGUUCAUUGCUCAGUUCUGGAAAGCGUUGAGCCAAAUACUGAAGAAGCAACACAUACGCAAGCGCAAGACAGACGUGAAGCAAAAUGUCUCCUUGAGGAGAUUUCACCUUCGUAGAUUUUCAAACCAAGCUGCUGUUGGAAUAAGACUGCCCUCCUGGUUCUUGGGAUAGAAAAAUCAGAGUUAAAGUACUGAAUGCAGUUCCAGGAGUAAGCUUUCGUUCCCUCAUCUUCUACAUCCAUGGCCAAACGCCCUGUCGGCCAUGGAGGUGUCACGCCUGCAUCACCCUAAGGAGAACGACCUUGAGCCAUGGCUGCCAGCCCAGCCCGUCCCUGCCCCUGCGGCUGCACCCCCAGCCUGGGGCAGGCUGAGCCCCCGGGAACUAUAUGAGGAAGGGGGUAUGGUGGUGUUUCCUGCCCUGCUGGUGGACGGUCCCCUUUUCUGCACUCCCCGAAGAUAAUGUGACCCAAGUUCCCCUGUGGAAGGGCCGUGCCUCGAUGUUCCUCCCACACAGGUGGGUAGAAUGGCCCAGGAGGAAGCCUUGCCCACACAGACCUUAAUUACAAAUACUUGCUUUCUAAGAAUAAACCACUUUGUCUAACAUUUGGCCAAUUGGCUUUCAAACA